rnacentral:lncRNA from 1 species
UCAUUGAUAUACCAAUAAGUUCCUACUUCAUUGUUAUGGCAUUGAUGACUCCAAAACACUUCAUUGAUGUGCCAAUGAGUUCUUACUUCAUUGUUAUUGCAUUGAUGGUCUAUUUAUAUGUCUCUUAUUGAUGUAUCAUUAUUUCAAAGUAUCAAAAAUGUGAUGGCGACCGAAAUAACAAUCUCAAAGAUUAAUUGAAC